GAUCAUGGCUCAAAUUGAACGCUGGCGGAAUGCUUCCUUAUGCAAGUCGAACGGCAGCACGGACUUCGGUCUGGGGGCGAGGGGCGAACGGGUGAGUAAUAUAUCGAAACGUGCCCAGUCGGGGGGAAUAACGUAGUGAAAAUUACCCUAAUACCGCAUACAAUCUACGGAUGAAAGCGGGGGAUCGCAAGACCUCGCGCGAUUGGAGCGGCCAAUAUCAAAUUAGGUAGUUGGUGAGGUAAAGGCUCACCAAGCCAACGAUCUGUAGCUGGUCUGAGAGGACAACCAGCCACACUGGAACUGAAACACGGCCCAAACUCCUACGGGAGGCAGCAGUGGGAAUUUUUGUACAAUGGACGCAAGUCUGAUCCAGCCAUUCCGCGUGCAGGACAAAGGCCUUCGGGUUGUAAACUGCUUUUGUACAGAACGAAAA
rnacentral:rRNA from 1 species